UUACGACUACAUAUCAGGCAUAUCAAUAAGCGGAGGAAAAGAAACUAACAAGGAUUCCCUUAGUAACGGCGAGUGAAGCGGGAAGAGCUCAAAUUUGAAAUCUUCAAGGUUCUACCUUGACGAAUUGUAGUUUAAAGAAGUGUUUUCUGUUAGAGGAGUAGCAAAAGUUCCUUGGAAUGGGACAUCAUAGAGGGUGAGAAUCCCGUAUUUGGUUAUUCUUUCUAGCUUUGUGAUACACUUUCAAAGAGUCGGAUUGUUUGGGAAUGCAGUCCAAAAUGGGUGGUAAAUUUCAUCUAAAGCUAAAUAUUGGCGAGAGACCGAUAGCGAACAAGUACCGUGAGGGAAAGAUGAAAAGAACUUUGAAAAGAGAGUUAAACAGUACGUGAAAUUGUCAAAAGGGAAGCGUUUGACACCAGUGUUGUUUAGCUGAAAAUCAAUUCAAUAGUUUUUGAUUCUAAGUAGUAUUGACUUCAUCAGCUUGCUGCUUUCUUCUCAGAAAUUAUUGAAUGCACUUUUCAGUUAACAAGUCAACAUCAAUUUCUUUUGUUGUAAAAGGGUAUAGGAAGGUGGCUUGCUCUUCGGCGCAAGUGUUUAUAGCCUUUAUACUCUACAAUCGGAGAGAUUGAGGUCUGCAGCGUAGAUCCUUCGGGGUUAGAUACAUUGUGCUAAGCUAUAGCCUUUUCAUAGACAACUUGUUGACUAUGCUCAGUCAUGUAGCUUACUCGCUGAUGCUAUUUUACCUACGCUUAGGAUGUUGAUCUACAGAGCGAGAGU
rnacentral:rRNA from 1 species